AAAACCCUACUGUGUGCGUGUAAACCUUGAAGUUUUUUCCAACACCUUUAAAAAGGGAGUCUGGUACUCUGGAUGAAGCUUACAGGCCUCGUUUAUUGAGGAAGUAAAAUUUACCCAGGAGGACACCCACCUGUCACAACAGGUUCAAACUUUUGGGCAGCACGGCAUUAGUGGGGUUUUU
rnacentral:other from 1 species